AUGUGAAAUAUUGAACCGCAAGCGGUUCAAUGUGAAAUAUUUGCCUGCGGCAAAUGUGAAAUGUGGCCUACCGGCCACGUGAUAUAUACU
rnacentral:sRNA from 1 species